rnacentral:lncRNA from 1 species
AUGCCCUCCUUGUCAAAUUUUAUCUACAUACCGCUAAUCAUCUAACGUUGGAGUCCUAUCUCGCCCCAAAGUCGGGCUACUCCAAUGGGUCGGCUUAAGACCGAUCUCCUAACUACAUUAUGCAUGCUCCGUUCGACAAGUCUCCACUCGUCAAGUCUCAACUUGAGCAAAGUCUUCGUAAGUUAGGGCCCAACUCGGCCCCCAUACAUAGACUCCGAUGUCUAGCUGAGAAAGCGGUCCCGGCCGCGAGUGCACCAGCCGAACACAGAUACUAAGG